rnacentral:rRNA from 1 species
GACGAACGCUGGCGGCGUGCUUAACACAUGCAAGUCGAACGGAAAGGCCCUGCUUUUGUGGGGUGCUCGAGUGGCGAACGGGUGAGUAACACGUGAGUAACCUGCCCUUGACUUUGGGAUAACUUCAGGAAACUGGGGCUAAUACCGGAUAGGAGCUCCUGCUGCAUGGUGGGGGUUGGAAAGUUUCGGCGGUUGGGGAUGGACUCGCGGCUUAUCAGCUUGUUGGUGGGGUAGUGGCUUACCCAGGCUUUGACGGGUAGCCGGCCUGAGAGGGUGACCGGCCACAUUGGGACUGAGAGACGGCCCAGACUCCUACGGGAGGCAGCAGUGGGGAAUAUUGCACAAUGGGCGGAAGCCUGAUGCAGCAACGCCGCGUGCGGGAUGACGGCCUGCGGGUUGUAAACCGCUUUCGCCUGUGACGAAGCGUGAGUGACGGUAAUGGGUAAAGAAGCACCGGCUAACUACGUG